AUCAGAAAAUUCUCCACGCUGUCGCUCCCUCCGUAACUUUACACACGUGUAAGUCCAUUCUCUAGGCGGUAGCUGGCUCCUUCUCUCCUAUCAUCUCUCCCCCCCCCUUCGAUCGGAAGAAACCGGAAGCGAAGAGAGCGAGCGAGCGAGAGUUCUAUUAGCCUCUCCUCCUCUUUGUCCUCCCUUUCGGUCACGGCCGUGAUGGGAGACGAUCCUUUUCCCACCCGCUGGACGUUCAAGGGUUUCAAGCUAUAUUAUGAUGUGAGGUUUGGAAGAAAGAAGGAACCCAAAGAAGAGGUUAGGGAUUCAAGAUGGAAUGCUAGGAGUUAUUUUAUGGAAUGAUCAGUGCCAAUGCGCGUGUAAAGAAGUCGUCCGACUGAUCGUACAGGAGCAGUUUGAGCGGCAGGAGAGAAAGAGGGAGCCACGCCUGGGAGCUGUUUUAUACCGGGCUAAUGAAACGCCCGGAGAAUGCUGGUCUUUGGUUUUCGUCUUUGUUUUGCGUCACACAUAUGCAAUGCAUAAUAAUUCCGAGAACUAACCUAUCGGGGUUUCAAAAUGGGAGAGCGAUUAGAAGGAUAGUAGCACAAACUAUUUUUGAAUUAUGAUUUAUUUAGGUUGAACUGUCAUCUUGGACAAUUAUUAUGAUUGUUAGAUAUUGCAAUAUUUUGCUAUUUAAAGAACUAAGUUUUGUAUGUUGGUAAAUUUAUUAUUGCGCUCGUGUUCACCGCCGUCGGCAGUCGAGGUUGGCCGAGCCUACCUCCCCACCUCUUGCCGCCGAUGGGGCUGGCCACCGCAGUCGCCCUUGGACUCGACCGAGGAGAGAAGAAGAAGAAAGUGGGGUCACGAGUCCCCUGUUCUGCCAAAGAAAAGAGGAGUCGGGAGAAGAGGGAAAGGGAAGAAGAAAAAGAAAAGAAAAAAAAGAAAAAAUAGACAAGAAAAAAAAUAAAGGGAGGGGGUGGUUUAUGGUUAUGAACUCAAAUCCGAACCCGAACCCGAAACUGGGGUGCUAGACACUUUUGCAAGGUCGGCCUUGGGAGGAUGUUAAAAUUUAAGUUUUAUAUAUAUUGUUGUGGAUUUUAAAAGAAAAAUAUGAUUUUUGGAUAUUAGGUUCGGCGAGGGAUUUGUGAGAUUAAUUGAAUUUGUUGGGGAUCGCGUUCGAUGUAAGUAAUGAACUACCUUUUCUAGACUCUUCAUUUAUAUAAUAUUAUUUUUGCAUCGAAUAAAUUGUUAAUGAAUUUAUA